rnacentral:rRNA from 1 species
GAGAUAACCGCUGAAAGCAUCUAAGCGGGAAACUUGCCUCAAGAUGAGAUCUCACUGGGAUCUUGAAUCCCCUAAAGGGCCGUCGAAGACUACGACGUUGAUAGGUGGGGUGUGUAAGCGCUGUGAGGCGUUGAGCUAACCCAUACUAAUUGCCCGUGAGGCUUGACCA